GGUGUGAUCGUCUAGUGGUAGGACUACACGUCGUCGUUUACGAGCUGCUGGCUUUGAAACGACAUCCGUGUAAACGACGGUUCGAUUCCGUCUGGCGCCG